rnacentral:rRNA from 1 species
GACGAACGCUGGCGGCGUGCUUAACACAUGCAGGUCGAACGGAAAGGCCCUGCUUUUGUGGGGUGCUCGAGUGGCGAACGGGUGAGUAACACGUGAGUAACCUGCCCUUGACUUUGGGAUAACUUCAGGAAACUGGGGCUAAUACCGGAUAGGAGCUCCUGCUGCAUGGUGGGGGUUGGAAAGUUUCGGCGGUUGGGGAUGGACGCGCGGCUUAUCAGCUUGUUGGUGGGGUAGUGGCUUACCAAGGCUUUGACGGGUAGCCGGCCUGAGAGGGUGACCGGCCACAUUGGGACUGAGAUACGGCCCAGACUCCUACGGGAGGCAGCAGUGGGGAAUAUUGCACAAUGGGCGGAAGCCUGAUGCAGCAACGCCGCGUGCGGGAUGACGGCCUUCGGGUUGUAAACCGCUUUCGCCUGUGACGAAGCGUGAGUGACGGUAAUGGGUAAAGAAGCACCGGCUAACUACGUG